GAUGAACGCUGACAGAAUGCUUAACACAUGCAAGUCUUUGGCGAAGCUGUGCUUGCACAGCCUAGCCAAGGCGGACGGGUGAGUAACGCGUAAGGAACUUGCCCUGCAGUCAGGGAUAACAGACGGAAACGACUGAUAAGACCUGGUAAAGUCAGGCGGACUCAUGUCCAGCCUGAUGAAAAGAGAUGCUGCAGGAGAGCCUUGCGUCCUAUUAGCUUGUUGGUGGGGUAACGGCCCACCAAGGCGAUGAUAGGUAGCCGGCCUGAGAGGGUGGACGGCCACAAGGGGACUGAGAUACGGCCCUUACUCCUACGGGAGGCAGCAGUGGGGAAUAUUGGACAAUGGGGGCAACCCUGAUCCAGCAAUUCUGUGUGCACGAUGAAGGUUUUCGGAUUGUAAAGAGCUUUCAGCAGGGAAGAAAAAAUGACGGUACCUGCAGAAGAAGCGACGGCUAAAUACGUG
rnacentral:rRNA from 1 species